rnacentral:rRNA from 1 species
CCUACGGGAGGCAGCAAUGGGGGAUAUUGCACAAUGGGGGAAACCCUGAUGCAGCGACGCCGCGUGAGUGAAGAAGUAUUUCGGUAUGUAAAGCUCUAUCAGCAGGGAAGAAAAUGACAGUACCUGACCAAGAAGCCCCGGCUAACUACGUGCCAGCAGCCGCGGUAAUACGUAGGGGGCAAGCGUUAUCCGGAUUUACUGGGUGUAAAGGGAGCGUAGACGGUUAUGUAAGUCUGGAGUGAAAGCCCGGGGCGCAACCCCGGGAGUGCUUUGGAAACUGUGUAACUGGAGUACGUGCGGGGCAGGCGGAAUUCCUGGUGUAGCGGUGAAAUGCGUAGAUAUGAGGAGGAACACCGGCGGCGAAGGCGGCCUGCUGGACUGGAACUGACGUUGAGGCUCGAAAGCGUGGGGAGCGAACAGGAUUAGAUACCCCGGUAGUC